GACGAACGCUGGCGGCGAGCUUAACACAUGCAAGUCGAACGGAAAGGACCUGCUUUUGUGGGGUGCUCGAGUGGCGAACGGGUGAGUAACACGUGCGUAACCUGCCCUUGACCUUGGGAUAACUUCAGGAUACGGGGGCUAAUACCGGAUAUGAGCUCCUGUAGCAAGGUGGGGGCUGGAACGUCUCGGCGGUUGGGGAUGGACUCGCGGCUUCUCAGCUUGUUGGUGGGGUAGUGGCUUACCAAGGCUUCGACGGGUAGCCGGCCUGAGAGGGUGACCGGCCACAUUGCAGCUGGUGUACGGGCAAGACUCCUACGCGAGGCAGCAGUGGGGAAUAUUGUACAAUGGGCGGAAGCCUGAUGCAGCACCGCCGCGUGCGGGAUAACGGCCCUCGGGUUGUAAACCGCUUUCGCCUGUGACGAAGCGUGAGUGACGGUAAUGGGUAAAGAAGCACCGGCUAACUACGUG
rnacentral:rRNA from 1 species